AACGCUAGCUACAGGCUUAACACAUGCAAGUCGAGGGGCAGCAUGAAGUCAGCUUGCUGACUUUGAUGGCGACCGGCGCACGGGUGAGUAACGCGUAUCCAACCUUCCCCUGUCUCGGGCAUAACCCGGUGAAAACCGGACUAAUUCCCGAUGUUGUUCCUUGACGGCAUCAGAUUGGAACCAAAGAUUUAUCGGACAGGGAUGGGGAUGCGUCUGAUUAGCUUGUUGGCGGGGUAACGGCCCACCAAGGCAACGAUCAGUAGGGGUUCUGAGAGGAAGGUCCCCCACAUUGGAACUGAGACACGGUCCAAACUCCUACGGGAGGCAGCAGUGAGGAAUAUUGGUCAAUGGGCGCGAGCCUGAACCAGCCAAGUAGCGUGCAGGAUGACGGCCCUAUGGGCUGUAAACUGCUUUUAUACGGGGAUAAAGUGCGGGACGCGUCCCGCUUUGUAGGUACCGUAUGAAUAAGGACCGGCUAAUUCCGUGCCAGCAGCCGCGGUAAUACGGAAGGUCCGGGCGUUAUCCGGAUUUAUUGGGUUUAAAGGGAGCGUAGGCCGGAGAUUAAGCGUGUUGUGAGAUGUAGGAGCUCAACUUCUGCACUGCAGCGCGAACUGGUUUCCUUGAGUACGUAGGAAGUUGGCGGAAUUCGUGGUGUAGCGGUGAAAUGCUUAGAUAUCACGAAGAACUCCGAUUG
rnacentral:rRNA from 1 species